CCUCAUCCCUGCGCCUCAAGGCAGGAGCAGCCUCAGUGACUGCGUUUACUUCUCCACGGCCUCAGUGCUGGGCAGAAGGCUCAGUGCCUCUCCUGGCUUCCACCCAUUUCUUGGAGAGGCAAGCUGAGGCCGGGAGGUACAUCCAGGGUGGAGAUGAGAUCGUCUUGUUUCUACCUGAGAAUGGGGAGUGCACAGGCGUGACGGGCACAGAGGCCUCGGAGCCUCCAGACAGCGUCCUCCCAGGCAGCUGGGUAACAGCUGGGAAUGAAACGUGAGCAGGCACCUUGACGGAGGGCCAUGGAGUGAGAGUGGACAGGGAGGGCCACGGAGUGAGAGUGGACAGGGAGGGCCAGGGAGUGAGAGUGGACAGGGAGGGCCACAGAGUGAGAGAGUGGACAGGGAGGGCCACAGAGUGAGAGUGAGCAGGGAGGGCCACAGAGUGAGAGUGGACAGGGAGGGCCACGGAGUGAGAGUGGACAGGGAGGGCCACGGAGUAAGAGUGGACAGGGAGGGCCACGGAGUGAGAGAGAACAGGGAGGGCCACGGGGUGAGAGUGGACAGGGAGGGCCACGGAGUGAGAGUGGACAGGGAGGGCCACAGAGUGAGAGAGAACAGCCCUGCAGGGUGGACGGCAGGGGGAAGCUAGGAGACUCCCUUAAUCCAACCACCUGUUCAGGAAGCAGCCGACAGCCCGCAGGAUCAACCCCUGUGCAGCAGCUGAGACAACAAAGCAGACCCGCCAGCCCUGCCUUUGCAGAGGGCGAGAGCUGGGCCGUGGUCAUCAGGGCUUGCAUGGUGCCGUGAGAGCCCUGACGCUGUCUCCCCCCUUGCAGGCCUGGCUGGGCCCCUGGCCGCUCCCCCAGCCAUGGCAGGACCACGGGCACAUGGCUGCUUGUGAGUUCUCGGUCUGUGGGACACAAGCGAUGGAGCCCGUGUCCUCGUGGACAGUAGGUGGCGUGGUCUAGGAAGAAGGGGCUGCGCAGGCUCUGCUGUGCCACGCCGUGGCCUGGCGUGGCGGCUCGGA
rnacentral:lncRNA from 1 species